rnacentral:rRNA from 1 species
CUGGCGGCGUGCCUAAUACAUGCAAGUCGAGCGGAAUGAAGAAGAAGCUUUGCUUCUUCUGAUUUUUAGCGGCGGACGGGUGAGUAACACGUGGGCAACCUACCUUGUAGAUUGGGAUAACUCCGGGAAACCGGGGCUAAUACCGAAUAAUCCAUUUUUGCUUCAUGGCGAGAUGUUAAAAGGCGGCUUCGGCUGUCACUACGAGAUGGGCCCGCGGCGCAUUAGCUAGUUGGUAGGGUAAUGGCCUACCAAGGCGACGAUGCGUAGCCGACCCGAGAGGGUGAUCGGCCACACUGGGACUGAGACACGGCCCAGACUCCUACGGGAGGCAGCAGUAGGGAAUCUUCCACAAUGGACGAAAGUCUGAUGGAGCAACGCCGCGUGAGUGAAGAAGGUUUUCGGAUCGUAAAACUCUGUUGUAAGGGAAGAACACGUACGAGAGUAACUGCUCGUACCUUGACGGUACCUUAUUAGAAAGCCACGGCUAACUACGUG